UGGGUUAAAUAAAGGGGUUACACCAACUUAUGUACCAGAGCCCCAUGCUUAAAAUCAUAAUCACUAACCGGUCACUUUACUAUGAGUAUGUACGGAUAACGGGUUUAAUGUGAUUGCACCUGAAUGAAAAGGACUUGAAGAAAACGAAAAGAAGCCUACGAUCGCAUUACCCCACCAUAAGUCUUUUUGCCUUGAAUUAACUCUAGUUGAUACUGUUUUUCUUGCAUAAACUAUAAAGAAUUUUGCUUGAGGACAAACAAAGAUUUAAGUGUGGGAGAAUUUGAUCACACUGAAUCACACCGUAUUUUUCACUCGGAUUUCACAUGUUUAUUAGGACUUUAUUAUCAUUUUGUUUGUAUUAUGCUCUCUUUUAUGUUGUUUUCAGAUAUUUAGCUCUUUCGGGAUCCUUUUAGAAGAAACGAAGCAAAAAAACCAAAAAUGAGGUUUUUUCGGCAAAUAUUAUACACAUGGCGUUGCACAUGGCGGGCGCUAUAGGAGAAGCCAUGACUCAUCAGCCCUCAACCAGGGGGUAAUCCGUCACAUCGGGGGGUUAUCUCACUUUAGUGAGAUUGAGACGGUAUGUACGCUCUUGUCAUGAAUAGAUCAAAAUGAGUCUUGAGGUCAUCACAGGGAGAGCGAGCAGUUGAGGUUACAAAUGAAGGUGUUGAUGCUGCAGGGCAUACAAUUGGUACAUCUUUGAAGGUCGUGAUCAAACUUAGGAAGGUUCUCAACCCCAAGAGUGUGAUCAAACCAACAUCACUAGCUAAAGAUUAUUUUGAAUCCAUAACUAACUUGAUCAUCCGAUACUUUGUAGGUACCACACCUUUGCUAUGACCAUGUCAGUCUUGAGGUCCUUAGAGGUAAUGUUCUUCUGUUUGCCUCUUUUAAUUUGGUUUGAUUUGUUUGUGCUCAACAAAUUAUUCAGGUUCAUUCGUUGAUUUCAUUUAUUAAUGUACAAGUCAUAUAAAGUCGUGAAGCCUUUUCUUGACUUGAACAUUUUCUCAGAUAUUAUUCAGGUCUUUUUUGAACUAUGCAAUGAUUAAAUGAACUUAUUCUUUGUUUAAAUUCAAUAUUUCUUCCAUAUUAAGUUUGGCUGCCUUAGUUCACUUGUUCAGUUUAUUUUUCCUGAAUUUAUAGUAAUUGGUGACCGGUUCCAUGAGAAUAGAAAGUGAUGCAGGGAGCCUUUGAUUUGGAAGUAUAAUUCGGUCUGCAUCCCAGCUAUUUUUCAUAUAGAGGUUCAUGCAUUUCUUUAGAUUAUAUCACAUAAAUUUGUUAAUUGAUUUGUAGUACCUACACCUCCGAUCAAAGGUGUGUCCAAUGUCAGGCAUGUGUUGGUUCCUGACACUGACACAUCCACAUUCAAUUGAUUAAUUUUUUCAAAUUAUUAUUGGUGUUGACGUGUCACUGUCGUGUCCCAUGUCCGUAUUGUAUAGGUUAAUUUAUUAAUUAGUGCGUAAAGAAAAGUUUGAAAUCUAUAAUAUGAAAUUUCCAGUGCCUUGUUCUGGUCAUUGUUAUCCAUAUGUGGUAACUGUGUCUUUAAUAUAUAUUGAUGUACAUCAACUUGAAAAAUUGCAUAUUGUUUAUAAUUCAUUUCAGAUCCCAGUAAUUUGCAACUAUGACUACCAAAAUCUUUUUAUUAUUACUUCAAUGUGGUUACAAUAUGUAGGUAGAAAGUUAUCCUGCAUAUUUUCUGAUUUGUACUAAUUUGGUGAAGUGGUCUUCCUUCAAAUGUGGUUGCAGGGAUUUGUCAUUGUCUCAGCUUUACUCGAUACAACAUUGCUACAGUUCAUUUAAAAUUAUCCAUCUCCUUCUGCAAUCUAUAAAAAAAAUUGCACGGUUGACUUAAUAUACCCUUGUUAUGGUUUUAUGGAUAAUCUUUCUCAAUAUUUGAAUAUGCAAUUGUAAACUUGUCAUGAUCUGCGGGAGAAUAUCUAAGAUACUAUGUUCUUUUAUUUACAAUAUUAUUUUGAAUUCAUCACUUGACCGUCAGAGUUUUUGCAGGUACCACACCUUUGCCGUGUCAUGCUAUGUUCAUGAGUAUGAUUAAACAGAAAGGAAAUGGUAGGAAGUUUGGUUUGCUGUGAUCGAUUCCAUGAGAUUUAGAAAGUGAUGCAGGGACGCCUUUGAUCAUGCUCAACAAGCUGCUAGAGUGUUCAAGAACAGAAGCAGCCUGCGGUCUACCCUAUUGGAAGCACCAUCCGUUCUUCAACCCAACUACGAGUGGAUGAGUGUCAUUGACUCGAGGGCCUGCUGGAACAUUGGAAAUGGGCAAAGGGUGAAAAUGUUGGGUGACAACUGGUUCCUGGGUCAGGUUGAGUUUGAACUGUGGAGUUCUUCCUCAACCCUAGUGAUUCGGUUAAUCGAAGAUGACGCAAACAAUGGAAAUUAAAACACGCUUACCGUUAAUGAAUGAAAUUAUUGAGCUUGGUGAGAUGCGGUUAGAACUGUUUCGUCUCAUUAACAACACCCAAGAAGCCAUCGAUGCUGAAAGAACGAGGAAAAUCGCAAUCUUGAUGUCAUUUAGAUAGUAACUAACAACUUUUUAUUCAUUUCAAAUUGAUUUUAAUGUUAUUUUGAAUCUAUGCUUGUGUCAUGAUGAGUAGGAUGAAACUCCUUCUUUAGGUAAUGUAUCUGUGUUUUUGCACUUACUGUGUGAUCUAACAAUCAAAUUAUUUGUCCCACUCAUUUCUUACAUAUGAUAAUCAGGUUGCAGUUUAAGUCCUAUACAAUGCAUUCAUACAAAGUAACUUGAAAUAGAAAGAUAUUUAGUAUGUUGUUCUUUUUCCUUUUACACAGACUUGCCAUAAAGGUUAGUGUCACUCUUUUAUGCUUAUAAUUCCAUCAUGUCUUGCUAAUUUCUUUACUCUAAAAUGUUACUCUUAGUGUCUGUUUAUGUCACAAGUCUUACUAUAUUGUCAU